rnacentral:rRNA from 1 species
GACAUAUAGGUUGUAGGGAACUGAAAAGGGACCGACCCUUCGGGGAGCCUAUACAGGUGUUGCAUGGCUGUCGUCAGCUCGUGUCGUGAGAUGUUCGGUUAAGUCCGCUAACGAGCGCAACCCUCGUCGUAUGUUAUAUGUGUCAUACGAGACUGCCGGUAAAAAGCCGGAGGAAGGUGAGGAUGAUGUCAAGUCAGCAUGACCUUUAUAUCCAGGGCUACACACACGCUACAAUGGUCUGUACAAUGGGUAGCCAAGCCGCGAGGCGGAGCCAAUCCUGAAAGCAGGCCUCAGUUCAGAUUGCAGUCUGCAACUCGACUGCAUGAAGCCGGAGUUGCUAGUAACCGCAGGUCAGCAAUACUGCGGUGAAUACGUUCCCGGGUCUU